rnacentral:rRNA from 1 species
UACGUAGGGGGCAAGCGUUGUCCGGAAUCAUUGGGCGUAAAGCGCGCGUAGGCGGCCCGGUAAGUCCGUUGUGAAAGUCAAAGGCUCAACCUUUGAACGCCGAUGGAUACUGCCGGGCUAGAGUCCGGAAGAGGCGAGUGGAAUUCCUGGUGUAGCGGUGAAAUGCGCAGAUAUCAGGAGGAACACCGAUGGCGAAGGCAGCUCGCUGGGACGGUACUGACGCUGAGGCGCGAAAGCGUGGGGAGCAAACAGG